rnacentral:rRNA from 1 species
AGAGUUUGAUCCUGGCUCAGAUUGAACGCUGGCGGCAGGCCUAACACAUGCAAGCCGAACGGUAACAGGAAGAAGCUUGCUUCUUUGCUGACGAGUGGCGGACGGGUGAGUAAUGUCUGGGAAACCGCCUGAUGGAGGGGGAUAACUACUGGAAACGGUAGCUAAUACCGCAUAACGUCGCAAGACCAAAGAGGGGGACCUUCGGGCCUCUUGCCAUCGGAUGUGCCCAGAUGGGAUUAGCUUGUUGGUGGGGUAACGGCUCACCAAGGCGACGAUCCCUAGCUGGUCUGAGAGGAUGACCAGCCACACUGGAACUGAGACACGGUCCAGACUCCUACGGGAGGCAGCAGUGGGGAAUAUUGCACAAUGGGCGCAAGCCUGAUGCAGCCAUGCCGCGUGUAUGAAGAAGGCCUUCGGGUUGUAAAGUACUUUCAGCGGGGAGGAAGGGAGUAAAGUUAAUACCUUUGCUCAUUGACGUUACCCGCAGAAGAAGCACCGGCUAACUCCGUGCCAGCAGCCGCGGUAAUACGGAGGGUGCAAGCGUUAAUCGGAAUUACUGGGCGUAAAGCGCACGCAGGCGGUUCGUUAAGUCAGAUGUGAAAUCCCCGGGCUCAACCUGGGAACUGCAUCUGAUACUGGCAAGCUUGAGUCUCGUAGAGGGGGGUAGAAUUCCAGGUGUAGCGGUGAAAUGCGUAGAGAUCUGGAGGAAUACCGGUGGCGAAGGCGGCCCCCUGGACGAAGACUGACGCUCAGGUGCGAAAGCGUGGGGGAGCAAACAGGAUUAGAUACCCUGGUAGUCCACGCCGUAAACGAUGUCGACUUGGAGGUUGUGCCCUUGAGGCGUGGCUUCCGGAGCUAACGCGUUAAGUCGACCGCCUGGGGAGUACGGCCGCAAGGUUAAAACUCAAAUGAAUUGACGGGGGCCCGCACAAGCGGUGGAGCAUGUGGUUUAAUUCGAUGCAACGCGAAGAACCUUACCUGGUCUUGACAUCCACGGAAGUUUUCAGAGAUGAGAAUGUGCCUUCGGGAACCGUGAGACAGGUGCUGCAUGGCUGUCGUCAGCUCGUGUUGU